CCUACGGGAGGCUGCAGUAGGGAAUAUUGCUCAAUGGGGGAAACCCUGAAGCAGCAACGCCGCGUGGAGGAUGAAGGUUUUCGGAUUGUAAACUCCUUUUGUUAGAGAAGAUAAUGACGGUAUCUAACGAAUAAGCACCGGCUAACUCCGUGCCAGCAGCCGCGGUAAUAUGGAGGGUGCAGGCGUUAUUCGGAAUCACUGGGCGUAAAGAGCGCGUAGGCGGGAUAGCAAGUCAGAUGUGAAAUGCUAUGGCUUAACCAUAGAACUGCAUUUGAAACUGUUAUUCUUGAGUAUGGGAGAGGUAGGUGGAAUUCUUGGUGUAGCGGUGAAAUGCGUAGAGAUCGAGCGGAAUACUCAUUGCGAAGGCGGCCUGCUGGAACAUAACUGACGCUGAUGCGCGAAAGCGUGGGGAGCGAACAGGAUUAGAUACCCUGGUAGUC
rnacentral:rRNA from 1 species